GAGUCUGAGGUCAGAGCCCCGGCUCUAAAGACCACAGUGCCUGGUUCACCGGAACAAUCAGUGACGCGAGCGUGUGACGUCGACUUCCGGGGUCACUGAGGCCACGACUCCGCCCUUUCCCAGGUCGCAGUCGGGAAUGGUCUUGGUGGGGAAAGACCGGCUCCUGACCACAGUGGCCAGACCACAGUGAACACUCAGACACAUCCCAGGCUCACCCUCACAUCCAGUGGACCUCAGGCCGAGAAACACAGGGAUUGUGUGAUUCCGGAACCCAAGAAACCUUCUUCCCUUUGCUCAGGGAAGCCCAUACUAUUCAAGAAAAGAAUGAGAAAGUGCACUGGGGUUCAUCUUGCAUUUCAUGGAUGGAGCUCAUAGACAGAUGCCUGGUUCUCCAGAAGUUGGCCAAGGAGCAGCUCCUCCGUGUGAGUGUGCGUGUACACGCGCGUGUUCCGCCCCUGCCUGCUCCUCCUGACAGAUAGCUGGGCCUGGGCCUGAGUUUGAUUCAUUUCUACUGAAAAAACAACUCCAACCUGAAGAUAAGCAUUCGCUCAAGCAAGAUUGCAGGGUGUGCGAAGGUCACUGAGCUGGCGACCAGGAGAGAUUAAAGUUAGCUGAGAAUCUGAGUGAAGGGAGACUAAGGAAAGUGAUGCCUUGAACCUCAAGCGAAGUCCACCUUCAUCCUCGAAGCCUUCAAACACUUUGAUGCAAUCCCUUGAUAGUUCGCUGCCUUAUUUACAGUGAAAAACAGCCAGAAUGUGGGAGAAAUAGAUGCUCCAGGGUUCACCACUAUACAGGCCACCAGCUGGACCCAACAUCUUCAGCUUUCUCACGCCAGCCUGCCUCAUCCAUACCCUCUUUUGUUCCACCUCAAAUGUCAUGAGAAGUGGACCCAUCCUCUCCCUUCCCAGGAAAGCCCACGUCACUGUGAGCACACCUGUGCUUCUCCCCAUUGCUUUCUCGGUAGCACAAUCUUAGAGCCCUCAGCUGCUUUCCAAAAAGACGUCACAACCGCAAGAGAUCCCAAUCAGCCCGGUCUCUCUCCAUAGCACCGUGUGCUUUGGCUGUUGGGCCAGAAAUCCAAGCCUAUUUUUACCUAUCAUUUUGAUACUAUCUCGGGGUGUAAUUGGAAGGAGCCUGCAGUGUGGAAAUCCUUACUCAGAACACGAAGGAUUGAAGAGGGCUUGGAGCCUGAAAUCCGGAAGGACUCUUGCCCGAGGCCUCUUGGCAGGGACGGCUCAGGUUUCUUGGAGCCUUGGGAAGGCCAACAGGUGGGUGUUUCCUUUGAGAGUGACUUCCUGCUCUUUCAGUAGCUAUGGGAUGUAGUGAGCACUGCCACUUCCUGACUUCUCUGCAUUGUAUUUGGUGAACACAUGGGUGAGCUGUUCCGUGGUUUCAUUCCAGUGGCAGGGUGGUCACCAUUUUGUUGGUUGUCCCUGUCCCGGGGGGAACUCUGGUCUGCAUCUCACUGUGUCUCCCUUGAGAUGUCAUCUGGGGUCCUUCAAGCUGCUCGCUGCUCCUCUGAGAGAUGACAUUCAGAUUCUAAGGAGAUUAAAAUUUGUAUUUU